rnacentral:rRNA from 1 species
GGGCCCGCACAAGCGGUGGAGCAUGUGGUUUAAUUCGAUGAUACGCGAGGAACCUUACCAGGGCUUAAAUGUAAGUUGCAUAAAUCAGAGAUGAUUUUUUCUUCGGACUACUUACAAGGUGCUGCAUGGUUGUCGUCAGCUCGUGCCGUGAGGUGUCAGGUUAAGUCCUAUAACGAGCGCAACCCCUGUCGUUAGUUGCCAUCAAGUAAUGUUGGGUACUCUAGCGAGACUGCCGGUGCAAACCGAGAGGAAGGUGGGGAUGACGUCAAAUCAUCACGGCCCUUACGUCCUGGCUACACACGUGCUACAAUGGCCGGUACAGAGAGCAGCCACUACGCGAGUAGGAG